GACGAACGCUGGCGGCGUGCUUAACACAUGCAAGUCGAACGGAAAGGCCCUGCUUUUGUGGGGUGCUCGAUUGGCGAACGGGUGAGUAACACGUGAGUAUCCUGCCCUUGACUUUGGGAUAACUUCAGGAAACUGGGGCUAAUACCGGAUAGGAGCUCCUGCUGCAUGGUGGGGGUUGGAAAGUUUCGGCGGUUGGGGAUGGACUCGCGGCUUAUCGGCUUGUUGGUGGGGUAGUGGCUGACCAAGGCUUUGACGGGUAGCCGGCCUGAGAGGGUGACCGGGCACAUUGGGACUGCGAUACGGCCCAGACUCCUACGGGAGGCAGCAGUGGGGAAUAUUGCACAAUGGGCGGAAGCCUGAUGCAGCGACGCCGCGUGCGGGAUGACGGCCUUCGGGUUGUAAACCGCUUUCGCCUGUGACGAGGCGUGAGUGACGGUAAUGGGUAAAGAAGCACCGGCUAACUACGUG
rnacentral:rRNA from 1 species